GAUGAACGCUGGCGGCGUGCCUAAUACAUGCAAGUCGAGCGAACAGACGAGGAGCUUGCUCCUCUGACGUUAGCGGCGGACGGGUGAGUAACACGUGGAUAACCUACCUAUCAGACUGGGAUAACUUCGGGAAACCGGAGCUAAUACCGGAUAAUAUAUUGAACCGCAUGGUUCAAUAGUGAAAGACGGUUUUGCUGUCACUUAUAGAUGGAUCCGCGCCGCAUUAGCUAGUUGGUAAGGUAACGGCUUACCAAGGCAACGAUGCGUAGCCGACCUGAGAGGGUGAUCGGCCACACGGGAGCGGAGACACGGUCCAGACUCCUACGGGAGGCAGCAGUAGGGAAUCGUCCGCAAUGGGCGAAAGCCUGACGGAGCAACGCCGCGUGAGUGAUGAAGGUCUUCGGAUCGUAAAACUCUGUUAUUAGGGAAGAACAAAUGUGUAAGUAACUAUGCACGUCUUGACGGUACCUAAUCAGAAAGCCACGGCUAACUACGUG
rnacentral:rRNA from 1 species